rnacentral:rRNA from 1 species
UACAGAGGUCUCAACCGUUGUUCGGAUUCAUUGGGCGUAAAGGGUGCGUAGGCGGUCGCGCAAGUCGGAUGUGAAAUCUCAGGGCUCAACCCUGAAACUGCAUUCGAUACUGCGUGGCUAGAGUGCUGGAGAGGAGACUGGAAUUUACGGUGUAGCAGUGAAAUGCGUAGAUAUCGUAAGGAAGACCAGUGGCGAAGGCGAGUCUCUGGACAUUUCCUGACGCUGAGGCACGAAAGCCAGGGGAGCAAACGGG